GCUACACAUGCAGUCGAGCGGAAACGAUCCUAGCUUGCUAGGAGGCGUCGAGCGGCGGACGGGUGAGUAAUGCAUGGGAAUCUGCCCGAUAGUGGGGGACAACCUGGGGAAACUCAGGCUAAUACCGCAUACGUCCUACGGGAGAAAGCAGGGGAUCUUCGGACCUUGCGCUAUCGGAUGAGCCCAUGUCGGAUUAGCUUGUUGGUGAGGUAAUGGCUCACCAAGGCGACGAUCCGUAGCUGGUCUGAGAGGAUGAUCAGCCACACUGGGACUGAGACACGGCCCAGACUCCUACGGGAGGCNGCAGUGGGGAAUAUUGGACAAUGGGCGAAAGNCUGAUCCAGCCAUGCCGCGUGUGUGAAGAAGGCCUUCGGGUUGUAAAGCACUUUCAGCGAGGAAGAACGCCUUGGGAUUAAUACUCUCGAGGAAAGANAUCACUCGCAGAAGAAGCACCG
rnacentral:rRNA from 1 species